GACGAACGCUGGCGGCGUGCUUAACGCAUGCAAGUCGAACGGAAAGGCCUGCUUUCCCUUGUGGAUUGCGGGUACUCGAGUGGCGAAUGGGUGAGUAACACGUGAGUGAUCUGCCCCCAACUUGGGUAUAAGCCUGGGAAACUGGGUCUAAUUCCCGAUAGGACUGCAGGGUGGUGCCUGUGGUGGAAAACGAUUUUCUAGUGGUUGGGGAUGAGCUCGCGGCCUAUCAGCUUGUUGGUGGGGUAAUGGCCUACCAAGGCGGCGACGGGUAGCCGGCCUGGGAGGGGGGACGGCCACAUUGGGACUGGGAUACGGCCCAGACUGCUACGGGAGGCAGCAGUGGGGAAUAUUGGGCAGUGGGCGGGAGGGUGCAGCAGCGACGCAGCGUGGGGGAUGACGGGCUUCGGGUUGUAAACUCCUUUGGACCGCGAGGAAGGCACCUGGUUGGAAGGGUGGUGACGGUAGUGGUAGAAGAAGCACCGGCUAACUACGUG
rnacentral:rRNA from 1 species